rnacentral:rRNA from 1 species
UAAGGAAUAUUGGUCAAUGGACGCAAGUCUGAACCAGCCAUGCCGCGUGAAGGAUGAAGGUCCUCUGGAUUGUAAACUUCUUUUAUCUGGGACGAAAACGGGAUUUUUAUCUCAAUUGACGGUACCAGAGGAAUAAGCACCGGCUAACUCCGUGCCAGCAGCCGCGGUAAUACUGAGGGUGCGAGCGUUAUCCGGAUUUACUGGGUUUAAAGGGUGCGUAGGUGGGCUUAUAAGUCAGUGGUGAAAUCUCCGAGCUUAACUUGGAAACUGCCGUUGAUACUAUAGGUCUUGAAUUAUCUGGAGGUAAGCGGAAUAUGUCAUGUAGCGGUGAAAUGCUUAGAUAUGACAUAGAACACCAAUUGCGAAGGCAGCUUACUACAUAUAAAUUGACGCUGAGGAACGAAAGCGUGGGGAUCAAACA